rnacentral:rRNA from 1 species
GUCUACGGCCAUACCACCCUGAACUGCCCAAUCUUGUCUGAUCUCAGAAGCUAAGCAGGGUCAGGCCUGGUUAGUACUAGGAUGGGAGAACCACUCUGUACCCCUGUUUGCACCCUGGCUGGGAGCCC